UACGAGGGGGGGCGAGCGUUGUUCGGAAUUAUUGGGCGUAAAGAGCUCGUAGGCGGCCUGUUGCGUCCGCUGUGAAAGCCCGGGGGCUUAACCCCGGGUCUGCAGUGGAUACGGGCAGGCUAGAGGUAGGUAGGGGAGAAUGGAAUUCCCGGUGUAGCGGUGAAAUGCGCAGAUAUCGGGAGGAACACCGGUGGCGAAGGCGGUUCUCUGGGCCUUACCUGACGCUGAGGAGCGAAAGCGUGGGGAGCGAACAGG
rnacentral:rRNA from 1 species